GAUGAACGCUAGCGGCAGGCUUAACACAUGCAAGUCGAGGGGCAGCAUAAUGGAUAGCAAUAUCUAUGGUGGCGACCGGCGCACGGGUGCGUAACGCGUAUGCAACCUACCUUUAACAGGGGGAUAACACUGAGAAAUUGGUACUAAUACCCCAUAAUAUCAUAGAAGGCAUCUUUUAUGGUUGAAAAUUCCGAUGGUUAGAGAUGGGCAUGCGUUGUAUUAGCUAGUUGGUGGGGUAACGGCUCACCAAGGCGACGAUACAUAGGGGGACUGAGAGGUUAACCCCCACACUGGUACUGAGACACGGACCAGACUCCUACGGGAGGCAGCAGUGAGGAAUAUUGGUCAAUGGACGCAAGUCUGAACCAGCCAUGCCGCGUGCAGGAUGACGGCUCUAUGAGUUGUAAACUGCUUUUGUACGAGGGUAAACGCAGAUACGUGUAUCUGUCUGAAAGUAUCGUACGAAUAAGGAUCGGCUAACUCCGUG
rnacentral:rRNA from 1 species